GAUGAACGCUGGCGGCGUGCUUAACACAUGCAAGUCGAACGGGAUCGGCUGGAGCUUGCUCCGGCCGUGAGAGUGGCGAACGGGUGAGUAAUGCGUGACCGACCUGCCCCAUACACCGGAAUAGCUCCUGGAAACGGGUGGUAAUGCCGGAUGCUCCACCAUGACGCAUGUCGUGUUGGGAAAGAUUCAUCGGUAUGGGAUGGGGUCGCGUCCUAUCAGGUAGUCGGCGGGGUAACGGCCCACCGAGCCUACGACGGGUAGCCGGCCUGAGAGGGCGACCGGCCACAUUGGGACUGAGAUACGGCCCAGACUCCUACGGGAGGCAGCAGUGGGGAAUAUUGCACAAUGGGCGCAAGCCUGAUGCAGCGACGCCGCGUGCGGGAUGACGGCCUUCGGGUUGUAAACCGCUUUUGACUGGGAGCAAGCCCUUCGGGGUGAGU
rnacentral:rRNA from 1 species